rnacentral:rRNA from 1 species
GUUGUAUAGUCAAGUAAUUAAGUGCAUGUGGUGGAUGCCUUGGCAGUCAGAGGCGAUGAAAGACGUGAUAGCCUGCGAAAAGCUCCGGGGAGGCGGCAAAUAUCCUUUGAUCCGGAGAUGUCUGAAUGGGGGAACCCACCUACUUUAAGGUAGGUAUUGCAACAUGAAUACAUAGUGUUGCAAGGCGAACGAGGGGAAGUGAAACAUCUCAGUACCCUUAGGAAAAGAAAUCAAUUGAGAUUCCCUCAGUAGCGGCGAGCGAACGGGGAUCAGCCCAUUAAGUUAUGUGUGUUUUAGUGGAACGCUCUGGGAAGUGCGAACGUAGAGGGUGAUAUUCCCGUACACGAAAGGGCACACAUAAUGAUGACGAGUAGGGCGAGGCACGUGAAACCUUGUCUGAAUAUGGGGGGACCAUCCUCCAAGGCUAAAUACUCCUGACUGACCGAUAGUGAACCAGUACCGUGAGGGAAAGGCGAAAAGAACCCCUGUGAGGGGAGUGAAAUAGAUCCUGAAACCGCAUGCAUACAAGCAGUGGGAGCACCUUCGUGGUGUGACUGCGUACCUUUUGUAUAAUGGGUCAGCGACUUAUAUUCAGUAGCGAGGUUAACCGUAUAGGGGAGCCGUAGAGAAAUCGAGUCUUAAUAGGGCGUUUAGUUGCUGGGUAUAGACCCGAAACCAGGCGAUCUAUCCAUGAGCAGGUUGAAGGUUGGGUAACACUAACUGGAGGACCGAACCCACUGUCGUUGAAAAGCCAGGGGAUGACUUGUGGAUAGGGGUGAAAGGCUAAUCAAGCCUGGUGAUAGCUGGUUCUCCCCGAAAGCUAUUUAGGUAGCGCCUCGGACGAAUACCAUAGGGGGUAGAGCACUGUUUCGGCUAGGGGGUCAUCCCGACUUACCAAACCGAUGCAAACUCCGAAUACCUAUGAGUACUAUCCGGGAGACAGACUGCGGGUGCUAACGUCCGUAGUCAAGAGGAAAACAAUCCAGACCGCCAGCUAAGGCCCCAAAAUCAUAGUUAAGUGGGAAACGAUGUGGGAAGGCAUAGACAGCUAGGAGGUUGGCUUANNNNNNNNNNNNNNNNNNNNNNNNNNNNNNNNNNNNNNNNNNGAAGCAGCCACCCUUUAAAGAAAGCGUAAUAGCUCACUAGUCGAGUCGGCCUGCGCGGAAGAUGUAACGGGGCUAAAACUAUGUGCCGAAGCUGCGGAUUUGACAUUAGUCAAGUGGUAGGGGAGCGUUCUGUAAGCCGAUGAAGGUGUAUUGAGAAGUNGAAGCAGCCACCCUUUAAAGAAAGCGUAAUAGCUCACUAGUCGAGUCGGCCUGCGCGGAAGAUGUAACGGGGCUAAAACUAUGUGCCGAAGCUGCGGAUGUAUACUUUGUAUACGUGGUAGGGGAGCGUUCUGUAAGCCGAUGAAGGUGUGUUGAGAAGCNNAUGCUGGAGGUAUCAGAAGUGCGAAUGCUGACGUGAGUAACGACAAAACGGGUGAAAAACCCGUUCGCCGAAAGACCAAGGGUUCCAGUCCAACGUUAAUCGGGGCUGGGUGAGUCGACCCCUAAGGCGAGGCCGAAAGGCGUAGUCGAUGGGAAAAUGGUUAAUAUUCCAUUACUUCUGUGUAAUGCGAUGAGAGGACGGAGAAGGCUAAAUCAGCCUGGCGUUGGUUGUCCAGGUGAAAGGAUGUAGGCAUGUAUCUUAGGCAAAUCCGGGGUACUCUAUGCUGAGAUCUGAUAGCAAGCUGUACUUGUACAGCGAAGUGGUUGAUGCCAUGCUUCCAGGAAAAGUCUCUAAGCUUCAGUUACACAGGAAUCGUACCCGAAACCGACACAGGUGGUCAGGUCGAGUAGACCAAGGCGCUUGAGAGAACUCUGCUGAAGGAACUAGGCAAAAUGGUACCGUAACUUCGGGAGAAGGUACGCUGUUGUUGGUGAUGGAACUCGCUUCCUGAGCUGACGACAGCCGCAGAAACCAGGCCGCUGCAACUGUUUAUUAAAAACAUAGCACUCUGCAAACACGAAAGUGGACGUAUAGGGUGUGAUGCCUGCCCGGUGCUGGAAGGUUAAUUGAUGGGGUUAGCGUAAGCGAAGCUCUUGAUCGAAGCCCCAGUAAACGGCGGCCGUAACUAUAACGGUCCUAAGGUAGCGAAAUUCCUUGUCGGGUAAGUUCCGACCUGCACGAAUGGCAUAAUGAUGGCGGCGCUGUCUCCAGCAGAGGCUCAGUGAAAUCGAAAUCGCUGUGAAGAUGCAGUGUACCCGCGGCUAGACGGAAAGACCCCGUGAACCUUUACUGCAGCUUGACACUGAACUUUGACCUUACUUGUGUAGGAUAGGUGGGAGGCUUUGAAGCUGGAACGCUAGUUCCAGUGGAGCCGUCCUUGAAAUACCACCCUGGUAAUGUUGAGGUUCUAACUCUGUCCCGUGAUCCGGGACGAGGACCGUGUCUGGUGGGUAGUUUGACUGGGGCGGUCUCCUCCUAAAGAGUAACGGAGGAGUACGAAGGUGCGCUCAGCGUGGUCGGAAAUCACGCGUAGAGUAUAAAGGCAAAAGCGCGCUUAACUGCGAGACCCACAAGUCGAGCAGGUACGAAAGUAGGUCUUAGUGAUCCGGUGGUUCUGUAUGGAAGGGCCAUCGCUCAACGGAUAAAAGGUACUCUGGGGAUAACAGGCUGAUACCGCCCAAGAGUUCAUAUCGACGGCGGUGUUUGGCACCUCGAUGUCGGCUCAUCUCAUCCUGGGGCUGAAGCAGGUCCCAAGGGUAUGGCUGUUCGCCAUUUAAAGAGGUACGCGAGCUGGGUUUAGAACGUCGUGAGACAGUUCGGUCCCUAUCUACCGUGGGCGCUGGAAAUUUGAGAGGAUCUGCUCCUAGUACGAGAGGACCAGAGUGGACGAACCUCUGGUGUACCGGUUGUGACGCCAGUCGCAUCGCCGGGUAGCUAUGUUCGGAAGGGAUAACCGCUGAAAGCAUCUAAGCGGGAAGCCUACCUCAAGAUAAGAUUUCCCUAGGACUUUAUGUCCUCUAAAGAGCCGUUCGAGACUAGGACGUUGAUAGGUUGGAUGUGGAAGCAUAGUGAUAUGUGAAGCUGACCAAUACUAAUUGCUCGUGAGGCUUGACUAUACAACACCCAAGCAGUUG